rnacentral:rRNA from 1 species
AUUGAACGCUGGCGGCAGGCUUAACACAUGCAAGUUGAACGAGUGGCGGACGGGUGAGUAAUGCUUGGGAAUCUGGCUUCUGGAGGGGGAUAACGACGGGAAACAGUCGCUAAUACCGCGCACCAUAGGCUGCGCCCAAGUGGGAUUGGGUAGUUGGUGGGGUAAUGGCCUACCAAGCCGACGAUCUCUAGCUGGUCUGAGCGGAUGACAGGCCACACCGGGACUGAGACACGGCCCGGACUCCGACGUGAGGCAGCAGUGGGGAAUAUUGCGCAAUGGGGGCAACCUGACGCAGCCAUGCCGCGUGAAUGAAGAAGGCCUUCGGGUUGUAAAGUUCUUUCGGGGACGAGGCGUUGAUCACAGAAGAAGCACCGGCUAACUCCGUGCCAGCAGCCGCGGUGAUUC